rnacentral:rRNA from 1 species
CGGACGGGUGAGUAAUGUCUGGGAAACUGCCCGAUGGAGGGGGAUAACUACUGGAAACGGUAGCUAAUACCGCAUAACGUCGCAAGACCAAAGAGGGGGACCUUAGGGCCUCUUGCCAUCGGAUGUGCCCAGAUGGAUUAGCUAGUAGGUGGGGUAACGGCUCACCUAGGCGACGAUCCCUAGCUGGUCUGAGAGGAUGACCAGCCACACUGGAACUGAGACACGGUCCAG